rnacentral:tRNA from 1 species
CGGGGUGUAGCGCAGCUUGGUAGCGCACCUGCUUUGGGAGCAGGGGGUCGCAGGUUCAAAUCCUGUCACCCCGA